rnacentral:misc_RNA from 1 species
UCUCCGUUGGUGAACCAGCGGAGGGAUCAUUACAGAGUUGCAAAACUCCCAAACCAUUGUGAACGUUACCUAUCCCGUUGCUUCGGCGGGCGGCCCGGGCCCCGCGCCCGGCGCCCCCCGGCCCCCCGUGGGCGCCCGCCGGAGGUAAACCAAACCCUUGAAUUGCAUGGCCUCCCAGAGUCUUCUGUACUGAAUAAGUCAAAACUUUCAACAACGGAUCUCUUGGUUCUG